CCUACGGGAGGCUGCAGUGGGGAAUAUUGGACAAUGGGGGCAACCCUGAUCCAGCCAUGCCGCGUGUGUGAAGAAGGCCCUCGGGUUGUAAAGCACUUUCAGUGAGGAAGAACGCCUGGUGGUUAAUACCCAUCAGGAAAGACAUCACUCACAGAAGAAGCACCGGCUAACUCCGUGCCAGCAGCCGCGGUAAUACGGAGGGUGCGAGCGUUAAUCGGAAUUACUGGGCGUAAAGCGCGCGUAGGUGGCUUGAUAAGCCGGGUGUGAAAGCCCCGGGCUCAACCUGGGAACGGCAUCCGGAACUGUCAAGCUAGAGUGCAGGAGAGGAAGGUAGAAUUCGCGGUGUAGCGGUGAAAUGCGUAGAGAUCGGGAGGAAUACCAGUGGCGAAGGCGGCCUUCUGGACUGACACUGACACUGAGGUGCGAAAGCGUGGGUAGCAAACAGGAUUAGAUACCCUUGUAGUC
rnacentral:rRNA from 1 species